rnacentral:tRNA from 1 species
ACCAGGAUGGCCGAGUGGUUAAGGCGUUGGACUUAAGAUCCAAUGGAUGUGUAUCCGCGUGGGUUCGAACCCCACUCCUGGUA